GGUAGGCACUUAAAGUUAACCAUCGAGAGACGUUAACCACCGAGAGUCGGUUUUUAGACCCGCCCAGUGCACCUAAGCACGCCUACUUUUGGAGCUCUUUAGUAUGAAGAUAAGAAAAAUAUACGAAAUUACGGAACUGUAUACCCUGUUUUAUCCUUGUUGUUGGUGUUUCUUGCGCAUGCGCACAAAGCACGGUGAUAGUUACGGUUACUGACUCAGGAACCUUGUAUAUUAUAUACGUUUAAUAAACUGGAUCCUUGUUGUGUUCAGUUAUCGAUACACUACGAUGGAAUUACGGACCAGUUUAACAUAAACAUGGUAAAUAGAUAGACAGCUGAUAAUCAUAAUUGAUUAAGAAAUAACCUGGAAGAAGAAAUGAGUUAACUAUUGAUUACAACAGAGACGAGAAUGCCAUCGUGUUUGUUCUGCUAAAAAAAGCAGGAACAUUGGAGUUUAUGGUUAGAUUUUAAAUAUUUAUUGUCUCCAAACUGGGUAAAUUUGAUAUAGUAACACCCCCCCCCCUUUUUUUUUAAAUAACUCGAGAACCACACAUCUCGCUCGCUUAACAAAGUAACAAUAAGAAAUAAUUAUUGUUAGUUUCAAGAAUAAUUAAUCGUCAAAACUUAUCCCCUCCCCGACAUCAAAGGAAGUUAAAUGUAUUAUCCCAAAAUUAGACCAAAUUUUUAUGAUAUAAGGACGUCUUGACAGGCUAUUAUUUUAUUUUGUUUUGUUGGGUUUUUUUUUUGCUUUGACGUCUUCCUCCUGUAUGAAAAAAAAACAUAAUAGACCCCCCCCCCCCC
rnacentral:lncRNA from 1 species